GGGGUCGUUCUUGGAAUUCGACAGGUCGUUUAGGGCAUGGACUGCGUUUCGCCAACCGGGCGUAAAAACGGGCAGACUUUUUAACUGCAAAAAAUGAAAACUCUUUCGCAAUCGCUGCUUAAAACACAGUGACGCGUAACUUAAUCUUGGUCUCUGACAUCUAAGGUUAGGUCAUAAAAGGUCAGAUCGUGUAUAAUUUUACAUCUGGAGAUUAUACGUUAAAUUAAUCAGAUUAGUGACCAGUAGCUGCCUUGUGUUGUGGCGUAACUGGUUAUGAAAUUUAAAUGACAGCACUAUAAGCGUAGAGGUUCAUGUACCGGACGGUUUGGACAGGGGUUCGAAUCCCCUCGGCUCCACCA
rnacentral:tmRNA from 1 species